rnacentral:rRNA from 1 species
UACAGAGGUCUCAAGCGUUGUUCGGAUUCAUUGGGCGUAAAGGGUGCGUAGGUGGCGCCGUAAGUCGGGUGUGAAAUCUCGGAGCUUAACUCCGAAACUGCAUUCGAUACUGCCGUGCUUGAGGACUGGAGAGGAGACUGGAAUUUACGGUGUAGCGGUGAAAUGCGUAGAUAUCGUAAGGAAGACCAGUGGCGAAGGCGGGUCUCUGGACAGUUCCUGACGCUGAGACACGAAGGCCAGGGGAGCAAACGGG